rnacentral:rRNA from 1 species
UAACUGGAGAGUUUGAUCCUGGCUCAGAACGAACGCUGGCGGCGUGCCUAACACAUGCAAGUCGAACGAGAAAGUUUCCUUCGGGAAACCGGUAAAGUGGCGCAAGGGUGAGUAACACGUGAAUAAUCUGCCUACGAAUUCGGGAUAACUUGACGAAAGUUGUGCUAAUACCGAAUAAGACCACGUCUCUUAUGUGAUGUGGCCAAAGGAGUCUCAAACUCCGUUUGUAGAUGAGUUCGCGGACCAUUAGCUUGUUGGAGGGAUAACAGCCCCCCAAGGCUACGAUGGUUAGCCGGCCUGAGAGGGUGAUCGGCCACACUGGAACUGAGACACGGUCCAGACUCCUACGGGAGGCAGCAGUGGGGAAUAUUGCGCAAUGGGCGAAAGCCUGACGCAGCAACG